rnacentral:rRNA from 1 species
AACGAACGCUGGCGGCAUGCCUAACACAUGCAAGUCGAACGAGAUCUUCGGGUCUAGUGGCGCACGGGUGCGUAACGCGUGGGAAUCUGCCCUUUGGUUCGGAAUAACAGUUGGAAACGACUGCUAAUACCGGAUGAUGACGAAAGUCCAAAGAUUUAUCGCCAGAGGAUGAGCCCGCGUAGGAUUAGCUAGUUGGUGUGGUAAAGGCGCACCAAGGCGACGAUCCUUGGCUGGUCUGAGAGGAGGAUCAGCCACACUGGGACUGAGACACGGCCCAGACUCCUCCGGGAGGCAGCAGUGGGGAAUAUUGGACAAUGGGCGAAAGCCUGAUCCAGCAAUGCCGCGUGAGUGAUGAAGGCCUUAGGGUUGUAAAGCUCUUUUACCCGGGAUGAUAAUGACAGUACCGGGAGAAUAAGCUCCGGCUAACUCCGUGCCAGCAGCCGCCGUAA